ensembl:lncRNA
CGAUCGCCCAGCCGCCACCUUCAACAGCUUUUUGCACUGCCUUGGACUUGACGCACAGGACCAAAUGUCAGACAGACCUUGGUAAAGACGAAAGGAGCAAGGGGAGCGGGUGGAAGAGGGAGGUCUGUCUGUAACUAGACUGCGCAGAGCCUUACAGGACGUCCCAUUAGGGUUCUGUUGCAGAUGUUACUGAAAUAUAAAACCACAGCUAACACUAUGACUGGGCAUGUGACUCAACUCCAUCCAAGAUCGGACAUCGUAAUAGGCGCAGUAGUGACUGAGGCAACGGUGAAAACAGGAUGUUCCGAUGAUGCCACAGGCCCGUGUUCUGCUCUUCCUCAUAUGGAACUGAAUCACGGAAACUGGAUUCUUCGGAAGAUGUUGUGUAUUACUGUGUGACAGUGUUACACAAAAGACAUGUCGCAGUGUCAUGGGAGGUCUUCUCAGUGGGCAGGUCCAGAAACCUUUUUUUUUUUGUGUGGUUGUGUGUGUACAUUACUCAAAGUGAUAUGCACAGAAUGAGAGACAGAGAAAGAAAAAGAAAGGGAGUAGGAAAGUCAGAAAGAAUAGACACGAUGAGAGACCAAGACAAAGUAAAGCUAGUUAUCAUGCUGUAAUGACUGUACUCAGGCAGACAGUGAGACUCCUACAGAUGCCCGAGAGCAGACACCAGUUGCGUCCUAAAUUACACCUUAUUCCCUUUGUGGAGCAGCACUUUUAACUAGGAUCCAUAUGGAUCAUCAGCUGUAGUUCACUGUAUUUGGAAUAGGGUGUCAUUUGGGACUCAGCCAUACUUCAGGCUUUUCUAUAUAUCAGCCAUUACUAUCAGCCAUCUUCACCCAUCCAUGGCUUUUAACAGGCAAAAUGAUUGUUUUUUAUUGCCUUUAGACGCCUGCUGUGGAACCUGCUUCACCCUACUUGUAGAUCUGGGAAAGAGAUGGGAUCGAUCUCAGACAGGUGACCCUGGUGACCAGAUCUUAGGGGUCAAGUUAUGCUUCAUCAGUGGGAAGUGCCACUCCAAGACCAAGAUCCAAGAAGAAUCUAGAGGUAAAUCACUUUAUUUCUAGCCCUGGUCUGGGUCAAUAUUAUUGCUGUGUGUGGCAAAGAGUAAGCCUAAAUUUCAUGGUUUCUUUGGCAAGUACAGACUGUGUAGCGAGUUUCCUAAACUAAGUGUCAUGACACAAUGUGGGGGUCACCUGGCUUGAAUAUGGGGUUGCAAGAGAAAUUCUGUUAGCCACUAAAUGUGAUUGUAUUAAAUAAAGUGGGUUUUUGUUUUCUUCUAACAAAUAGAACAUGUCUCUGACUUUCUAUA